CGUACAGCUGGUGCAGGUGGGGGAGGAAAAGGAGAAGGAGUGGUGGAAACGCAGCGGAGAGAAGUUGAGGGAAGAUCGGCGGCGGCGUUGGCUACGCAUCCUCUUCCUAAGCUGAGCAUUGAAGGCAGUGGGGAGCCGUAGAAUUAUUAAGGGAGUUGAAUCCCCCCAAUCCCAUGGCUAAAAAGCUUAAUCGAUCAACAGAGACCUCGAUAAUCUCCAUCGUCACCGCCGCGGCCAAUUGAAGAAGCAACAGCAACGCAACAAGGUUAGUUGGAUCUCUCCUCCACCUCCUCUGUUUCAGGGCAGGGUAGGGCGAGUGAAGUUGGGAGGUAGAAAUUAUGAGGAAUUGCGGGGAUGUGGAUGAGUUUUCCGAUCGAAAUCUGUCGUCGUCCCAACUGGCAGGUGUUAUUUUGCUCACUGAAAUCGCCUAUUUUAAGCUGCGAGGUGUUCGAUGAAAUGCCAAGGAGAGUUGAGGGGGUAAUGCUUGAAUUGAAA